ACAAGUGGAUAAUUAAUUAAAAACAAAAAACAUGGCGGUUUUUCAUCAUAUUAGAGAGACAUGUGUUGAAAACGAAUCUGCACGAAAAACUUUUCUCUCUUUAGAAAUCAUUUUACAUACCGCUGUCUGAAAGAUUUUUCUAAAGAAAAUAUCUUGAAUCUGGAGUUAAGGCAAGUAAAGGUGUAGACAAUGGGAGAGAAAACAUGUGUUUCAGUGUUAUUUAAGAAAUAGAGAAAAUUUUAAAAAAGAAUUUAACAGUAAAUCCUGUUUAUCAUACAGGUUUGAAUUGGAAAUGAAAAGCGUACACA
rnacentral:rRNA from 1 species